rnacentral:rRNA from 1 species
GACGUAGGGUCCAAGCGUUGUCCGGAUUUACUGGGCGUAAAGAGCGCGUAGGCGGCUCGUUAAGUGUGAAGUGAAAUCUCCAGGGCUCAACCCGGAAACUGCUUUACAUACUGGCGAGCUGGAGUGAUGCAGAGGUUUGUGGAAUUCCUGGUGUAACGGUGAAAUGUGUUGAUAUCAGGAGGAACACCCAUGGCGAAGGCAGCAAACUGGGCAUCAACUGACGCUGAGGCGCGAAAGCCAGGGGAGCGAACGGG